rnacentral:rRNA from 1 species
CCUACGGGAGGCAGCAGUGAGGAAUAUUGGUCAAUGGGCGGGAGCCUGAACCAGCCAAGUCGCGUGAGGGAAGACGGUCCUAUGGAUUGUAAACCUCUUUAGGCGGGGAGCAAUGCCGGGCACGUGUGCCCGGAGGGAGAGUACCCGCAGAAUAAGCAUCGGCUAACUCCGUGCCAGCAGCCGCGGUAAUACGGAGGAUGCGAGCGUUAUCCGGAUUUAGUGGGUUUAAAGGGUGCGUAGGCGGGUUUUUAAGUCAGCGGUAAAAUGUCCGGGCUCAACCCGGGCCGGCCGUUGAAACUGGGGAUCUUGAGUGGGCGAGAAGUAUGCGGAAUGCGUGGUGUAGCGGUGAAAUGCAUAGAUAUCACGCAGAACUCCGAUUGCGAAGGCAGCAUACCGGCGCCCGACUGACGCUGAGGCACGAAAGCGUGGGGAUCGAACAGGAUUAGAUACCCGAGUAGUC